CCGGGUGCUAUUUAUUGGACUCACUCCACUUGAUCUCAAGUGAUGCGAUCAUACAGGUCUGUCUAGCCGCCUCCCUUGUCUGUUUGUAGUUGCUGCUUUCUAGCAAGUAGUACAAAUUGGUCUAGCCACAACCCACAGCCGCACCUGUGCCCCUGCAUUCAAACAAAUGGAAUUAAGAUUCGAAGUUAGUAGAAAACUGAUAACAUGUUCAGAAUUUUCACAUCACACAACCAAGUAAACUCCGAUAGACAGAGGACACGAAAAUGGCGCAUCCAUGUUUUGAUUGCAUCCUGUAUUCAACAAUCACAUAGCAUGUUACGUUUCACCCGGAAAAUAAAAAAAUAAAAGAUCACAGAACAUAUUUUACUUGAAGUUUCUUUAUUACCUUAGUGAAUUAGAGAAUAGAACAAUAAUGUAUCUUUUGUUAUGAGAAUGAUUGCAUGAAUAGUACAUCUAGUUCAGGAAAAAAAAGAUCGGGAGAAAAUAUUUGAUAGUUGGAAACCAACUAUAUCAGUUAUAAUAUUCUAAUAUGCUAAUUAUUUCCUUAAUGAAAUGCUCACUAUAUAUAUUCAGAAGUAUAACAGAGUUACAUAGGUGUUACUCUGCUGAUUUGGCUCUGCUUCUCCUGUUUGCAAAGAGGAUUUUCUUAUUUCUGCUAUCUGGCAGUUCUUAUCUAAUAAUGGUUAUCAUUUGCCAUUGAUAAUAUUAUCUCGUAGUUUAAUUCUGCCUAUAGCGCAGGAUUUGAUUUCAUUCACCGUCCAUUAUUUAGCUACUUCAACGUCCUACUAGCCUUGCUAUCUCUAAGGAGAAACAUAAAUGUCGAAUGAUGUUGCCAUUCUUGACACUGAAAAAUGGUCAUGUUUUUCAGGCCCAACAGGUGUUACCUUUGAUAAAGCAUGCAGAUCAUUUACUAUCUCUUUGUCCAUUUCAGGGGAGAGCAUUUCAAAGGAAUCAUGGACUGGAGGUGUAAGGUUACAUGACAAGCUAUUUUGCUCACGCAGUUUGAUAAAAAAAAUUCAUGAAGUCCACUUCCUUGUUUAUUUGGCUCAUGAUUAAUGUUUUUUUAACUUCCAAAUGUUGGCUAGCAAUUGAUAUUCUAUGAUUAAACAUGUCAUAAUCCAUUGAUUUACGGUCACUGUUACAUUUGAUAAUUUAUAAUCACAUAAAUGAACUUAAAUUGUUCCGGGCCUGGCAUGUUUAGCAUUUAUUUACAUUAUAGUACAAUGAAUAUAUGAUGGAAACAACGUCGCAAGAUCACUCAGCACUAUUGGCCGGCACAGCAAAACAUGGAUACACUUCUAGUUUACAUGACGAGUAAUUCAUUUGUUUGCAUCAUGCAUGCAUGUUUAGCUUUCAAAAUAAAUUAUUAUGUUGUAACAAAAUCUUAAUGUAAUCAGACCAAAAGUAUGUGUAGAAUAAGGCUACUUAGUGCAUUCCUAGUACAUGAUAUCGGAACUCCUGGAAAUUAUCAUUCUUGAGCUGAUUAUGUGUCUCCAUUCACACCUCUUCUUAUUUAAUUGCAGAAUGCUCAUACUGAAAAUAGCAAUGCAACCAAGUUAGGUGGUCUUCACCAAGUCACUAAGCAGGUACAUAUAUGCUAGGUAUCCAAACAGUUGUAUAAUUAUGGUUGGUCUAAUUCUCUAUGAAAUUGUCCUUCUUUGCGUAAAGUGAAAUCUUCCCAGUUUUAUGAAUAACAAAUGUUUCAUUUCUUGCAAAAAUGGGAUAAAACUGAAGUCCUGUUCUUUUCAAUCAAUUUGAGAAGCUAAAACAAACCCGUGACCAAUGCAAUUUUAGGGGGUAAAGAUAGAACAUAUGUGGUUGAAGGAGACAUGCUUGGAGAGCAGUAUGGUGCAGUCUUUGUCUGUGGCUCUACAAAUCUAGGUGAUGUGAACUAGUUAGACCAUAUGAAAAAUUCUAAACAGUAGGAGAUGUUUGUUAUGUUUUUGCUUGGCCUUGCUCACAUGUAAGUAUGUUUCCAUACAAGCAUCGAGUGUGCUCCAAUAUCCACAUUUAAGAUACUUUAGUUAUCAAAAUCUUUGUGGCUUUAGGUACAAAAAACUAAGCCAACCAUUCAAACAAAGCAUUUGUAUGAUACACUUCUUAUAAUUUAUCAAAGAACAUCUUAUCUUGCACUUGCCUAAAACAUUGUUCAUUUUCAUUUUCAGGGUGGUUGAGGAUUUGAAAAGAGAGUGCAUUAAGGGAGCCAUGAGUAAUUGGGUAGUUGAGGAUUUGAAAGGAAGUGCACUGAAGGAGCCAGGAUCAGUUGAUGGACCAGUCUGUGAAUGAACAAGUAUUGUGGCUUAUGUUAUAUUUUAGCUUAAUUGAGAACUAUAGUUCUAGACUAUAGGAUAUUUUAUUAUUUAUUUGCAUGUUCUGUAUGAAUAUCUGUUAAUAUUCAGUUGUGAACUUUGGUGUAAUUAUCUGUUCGGGCUGCUUAUUCCACUCAGCCCUUUUUUUUGGAGGGGAACUCAGCUUCUCAAUUUUGAUAACGUGAAGUUUGCAAAUGCGAUCUAUGACGUGGAAUCGUG
rnacentral:lncRNA from 1 species